UAGUUGGUGGGGUAAAGGCCUACCAAGGCGACGAUCUGUAGCGGGUCUGAGAGGAUGAUCCGCCACACUGGAACUGAGACACGGUCCAGACUCCUACGGGAGGCAGCAGUGGGGAAUUUUGGACAAUGGGGGCAACCCUGAUCCAGCCAUGCCGCGUGAGUGAAGAAGGCCUUCGGGUUGUAAAGCUCUUUCGUCCGGGAAGAAAUCGCACAGGCUAAUACUCUGUGUGGAUGACGGUACCGGAAUAAGAAGCACCGGCUAACUACGUGCCAGCAGCCGCGGUAAUACGUAGGGUGCGAGUGUUAAUCGGAAUUACUGGGCGUAAAGCGUGCGCAGGCGGUUUUGUAAGACAGGCGUGAAAUCCCCGGGCUCAACCUGGGAACUGCGCUUGUGACUGCAAGGCUAGAGUACGGCAGAGGGGGGUGGAAUUCCACGUGUAGCAGUGAAAUGCGUAGAGAUGUGGAGGAACACCGAUGGCGAAGGCAGCCCCCUGGGCCGAUACUGACGCUCAUGCACGAAAGCGUGGGUAGCAAACAGGAUUAGAUACCCUGGUAGUCCACGCCCUAAACGAUGUCAACUAGGUGUUGGGUGGGUAAAACCAUUUAGUACCGUAGCUAACGCGUGAAGUUGACCGCCUGGGGAGUACGGCCGCAAGGUUAAAACUCAAAGGAAUUGACGGGGACCCGCACAAGCGGUGGAUGAUGUGGAUUAAUUCGAUGCAACGCGAAAAACCUUACCUACCCUUGACAUGUCCGGAAUCCCUGAGAGAUUGGGGAGUGCCCGAAAGGGAAUCGGAACACAGGUGCUGCAUGGCUGUCGUCGGCUCGUGUCGUGAGAUGUUGGGUUAAGUCCCGCAACGAGCGCAACCCUUGUCGUUAAUUGCCAUCAUUAAGUUGGGCACUUUAGCGAGACUGCCGG
rnacentral:rRNA from 1 species